rnacentral:tRNA from 2 species
GCCAAAGUGGUGGAAUUGGUAGACACGCUGGGUUUAGGUUCCAGUACUUACGGUGUAGGGGUUCAAGUCCCCUCUUUGGUA